rnacentral:rRNA from 1 species
UACGGAGGGUGCAAGCGUUAAUCGGAAUUACUGGGCGUAAAGCGCGCGUAGGCGGUUUUUUAAGUCGGAUGUGAAAGCCCCGGGCUCAACCUGGGAACUGCAUCCGAUACUGGAAGACUAGAAUGCGGGAGAGGGAGGUAGAAUUCCAUGUGUAGCAGUGAAAUGCGUAGAUAUAUGGAGGAAUACCAGUGGCGAAGGCGGCCUCCUGGCUCGACAUUGACGCUGAGAUGCGAAAGCGUGGGGAGCAAACGGG